rnacentral:rRNA from 1 species
GGGUUGUGAGGUUAAGUGACUAAGCGUACACGGUGGAUGCCCUGGCAGUCAGAGGCGAUGAAGGACGUGCUAAUCUGCGUAAAGCGACGGUAAGGUGAUAUGAACCGCUACAGCCGUCGAUGUCCGAAUGGGGAAACCCGGUGCACUCAGUGCAUCAUUGCAGCAUGAAUACAUAGUGCUGCAAGGCGAACCGGGGGAACUGAAACAUCUAAGUACCCCGAGGAAAAGAAAUCAACCGAGAUUCCCCCAGUAGCGGCGAGCGAACGGGGAGCAGCCCAGAGCCUGAAUCAGCAUGUGUGUUAGUGGAAGCGUCUGGAAAGUCGCAGGGUACAGGGUGAUACUCCCGUACACAAAAGCACA